rnacentral:misc_RNA from 1 species
GUAGUUUUGGCAUCAUAUUGAGAACAGAACUUGCUAUGCAGAAUAAAACAGAAAGAAAACAUUGCAAAACUGAGUCAAUUUCAGAGUACAGAGACCUGCAGAUAAGUUUCAUCAGCCUUGGGAUAAAAUGUCGAGAAAGCAGAAAGUGGCUAAGCUGGGAGUAAGGCAAAUGGUGGUAACAGUGGACAAAGAUGGGAUAUUGUCUGAAGAUUAUGAGCUGCUAGACCAGACACUAUUUUAUUGAACUGAAGACAGGUGAUGUGUAAUUUUCAGGACACUGGAAAAUAAAAAACUGUAAUCAUGCAAAAUACCAAGAAUUUCAUUUAACCAAAGAAAACCACAAAUCAAGGACAAUAAUAACUAAUAACUUUUUGCUCCAUAAUUGUACAUAUAACCAAAAAAUAUAAUCAUACCUGAGCAAAUUUUAUGUCAGUAU